UGCCGGCGACCGGCGGACGGGUGCGUAACGCGUAUGUAACCUACCUUUGACAGGGGGAUAACAUCGAGAAAUUGGUACUAAUACCCCAUAACAUCACCGGAGGCAUCUUCGGUGGUUGAAAACUCAGGUGGUCAGAGAUGGACAUGCGUUGUAUUAGCUAGUUGGUGAGGUAACGGCUCACCAAGGCGACGAUACAUAGGGGGACUGAGAGGUCAACCCCCCACACUGGUACUGAGACACGGACCAAACUCCUACGGAAGGCAGCAG
rnacentral:rRNA from 1 species